rnacentral:snRNA from 1 species
CCUGAGAUCCUUAAAUCACA